CAUUGCCUAACUCAAGGUCAUGAAGAUUUACACCCAUGUUUUCUUCUAUGAGUUUUAUAGUUUUAGCUCUUAUAAUUAGGUCUUUGAUCCAUUUUGAGUUAACUUC